rfam:Gorilla gorilla gorilla genomic chromosome, chr1, whole genome shotgun sequence
GCUGGGUGUGCUGGUGCACGCCUGUAAUCCCAGCUACUCGGGAGGCUGAGGCAGGAGAAUCGCUUGAACCCAGGAGGGUUGCAAGUUGCAGUGAGCCAAGAUCGUGCCACUGCACUUCAGCCUGGGCAACAGAGGGAGACUGUGUCUCAA